rnacentral:rRNA from 1 species
GACGAACGCUGGCGGCGUGCUUAACACAUGCAAGUCGAACGGAAAGGCCCUGCUUUUGUGGGGUGCUCGAGUGGCGAACGGGUGAGUAACACGUGAGUAACCUGCCCUUGACUUUGGGAUAACUUCAGGAAACUGGGGCUAAUACCGCAUAGGAGCUCCUGCUGCAUGGUGGGGGUUGGAAAGAUUCGGCGGUUGGGGAUGGACUGGCGGGUUAUCAGCUGGUUGGUGGGGUUGGUGCUUACCAGGGCUUUGAGGGAUAGCCGGCCUGGGAGGGGGGCCGGGGACAUUAGGACUGAGAUACGCACCAGACGCGAACCGGAGGCAGCGGGGGAGAAUAUUGCACAGUGGGGCGGAGCCAGAGACGAAGGUCUCCGGUGCGGGAUGCCGGGCUUCGGGUUAAGAACAGAUGUCGACUGAGACGAAGAGUGCGUGACGGUAAUGAGUAAAGAAGCAACGGCUAACUACGUG